GCAAUGGUGGUUCAUUGGUAGAAUUCUUGCCUUCCAUGCUAGAGACCCAGGUUUGAUUCCCGAUCAAUAUA
rnacentral:tRNA from 1 species